GACGAACGCUGGCGGCGUGCUUAACACAUGCAAGUCGAACGGAAAGGCCCUGCUUUUGUGGGGUGCUCGAGUGGCGAACGGGUGAGUAACACGUGAGUAACCUGCCCUUGACUUUGGGAUAACUUCAGGAAACUGGGGCUAAUACCGGAUAGGAGCUCCUGCUGCAUGGUGGGGGUUGGAAAGUUUCGGCGGCUGGGGAUGGACUCGCGGCUUAUCAGCUUGUUGGUGGGGUAGUGGCUUACCGAGGCUUUGACGGGUAGCCGGCCUGAGAGGGUGACCGGCCACAUUGGGACUGAGAUACGGCCCAGACUCCUACGGGAGGCAGCAGUGGGGAAUAUUGCACAAUGGGCGGAAGCCUGAUGCAGCAACGCCGCGUGCGGGAUGACGGCCUUCGGGUUGUAAACCGCUUUCGCCUGUGACGAAGCGUGAGUGACGGUAAUGGGUAAAGAAGCACCGGCUAACUACGUG
rnacentral:rRNA from 1 species